rnacentral:rRNA from 1 species
UGAAUACGAGACGCUAAGGCGUUGAAGUAGUGUAUGUCAUACUUCCAAGAAAAGCUUGCACUGUCAUAGAUAAAAAACGCCUGUACCAUAACCGACACAGGUGGGUAGGUAGAGUAUACUAAGGGGCGCGAGAUAACUCUCUCUAAGGAACUCGGCAAAAUAACUCCGUAACUUCGGGAGAAGGAGUGCCUUAUUUAUAAGGCUGCAAUAACAAGAUCCAAGCAACUGUUUAUCAAAAACACAGGUCUCCGCUAAGUCGUAAGACGAUGUAUGGGGGCUGACGCCUGCCCAGUGCCAGAAGGUUAAAGAAGUUGGUUAGCAAUAGCGAAGCUGAUAACUGAAGCCCUGGUGAACGGCGGCCGUAACCAUAACGGUCCUAAGGUAGCGAAAUUCCUUGUCGGGUAAGUUCCGACCCGCACGAAAGGCGUAAUGAUUUGGAUACUGUCUCGGAGAGGGGCUCGGUGAAAUAGACUUGUCUGUGAAGAUGCGGACUACCUGCACCAGGACAGAAAGACCCUAUGAAGCUUUACUGUAACUUGAAAUUGAAAUCGGACUUUAUUCGCGCAGUAUAGGUGGGAGGCGUUGAUUGUAAUCUUGCGGGAUUAUUGGAGCCAUCAGUGAGAUACCACCCUUGUAAUGUUAGAUUUCUAACUUUGAAUCAUUAUCUGGUCAAAGAACAGUUUCAGGCGGGCAGUUUGACUGGGGCGGUCGCCUCCUAAACGGUAACGGAGGCGUACAAAGGUUUCCUCUGAACGGUUAGAAAUCGUAUCUAGAGUGUAAAGGCAUAAGGAAGCUUGACUGUGAGACCUACAAGUCGAGCAGGGACGAAAGUCGGUCUUAGUGAUCUGACGGUACUGAGUGGAAAGGCCGUCACUCAACGGAUAAAAGUUACUCUAGGGAUAACAGGUUGAUCUCCCCCAAGAGUUCACAUCGACGGGGAGGUUUGGCACCUCGAUGUCGGCUCAUCGCAUCCUGGGGCGGUAGUACGUCCCAAGGGUUGGGCUGUUCGCCCAUGAAAGCGGUACGCGAGCUGGGUUCAGAACGUCGUGAGACAGUUCGGUCCAUAUCCGGUGUAGGCGUUAGAAUAUUGAGAGGAGCCUUCUUUAGUACGAGAGGACCGAGAAGGACAUACCUCUGGUGUACCAGUUAUCGUGCCAACGGUAAACGCUGGGUAGCUAUGUAUGGAGUGGAUAACCGCUGAAAGCAUCUAAGUGGGAAGCCCACCUCAAGAUAAGUAG